UGGCUCAGAUUGAACGCUGGCGGCAUGCCUUACACAUGCAAGUCGAACGGCAGCGGACCUUCGGGUGCCGGCGAGUGGCGAACGGGUGAGUAAUGCAUCGGAACGUGCCAUUGAGUGGGGGAUAACGUAGCGAAAGUUGCGCUAAUACCGCAUAUUCUGUGAGCAGGAAAGCAGGGGACCGCAAGGCCUUGCGCUCUUUGAGCGGCCGAUGUCAGAUUAGCUAGUUGGUGAGGUAAAGGCUCACCAAGGCGACGAUCUGUAGCGGGUCUGAGAGGAUGAUCCGCCACACUGGAACUGAGACACGGUCCAGACUCCUACGGGAGGCAGCAGUGGGGAAUUUUGGACAAUGGGGGCAACCCUGAUCCAGCCAUGCCGCGUGAGUGAAGAAGGCCUUCGGGUUGUAAAGCUCUUUCGGCCGGGAAGAAAUCGCAUGGGUUAAUACCCUGUGCGGAUGACGGUACCGGCAUAAGAAGCACCGGCUAACUACGUG
rnacentral:rRNA from 1 species